GCUGCUCGUCGACUGGCGCGCCGGGCUGGGCACGCGGCCGCCGGCGCUCCAUGGAGAGGCGGGCGUGCUAGCGCUGCUCACUCUCUCUGUCGAGAGGAAAAUAAUUUGCGCCUAGGAGCUGUUUGAUGGAAUGCCUGAGAGAAAGAGAUAUGGGAAGAAGAUGACCAUGUAGCCAUUGACAGGUGGGCCCCGCAUCUUAUUUGCCACAGUUGGUCAAAGCGUUUAGUCGUCGCCACGUCAGUCUGACAUGCGGGCCCAACUUAUCAGUUUCGCUGUUUUCAUAAGCUUAUCAGACUAUCAGCGCUCCGCGUUACGUGUUAGGCACAAUUUUGAUGAUUUUUUGUACCCUACCUCAUAUGUGAUACCAAAUAGUUACUCUAUCCUCAGGUGUGGUGGUUUUAGGUAAAUAACUCCUUCAGAUCGGAUCGGACAGCACCUGGAAUCAGCAAAUCUCACUGUCGCUGCCCAGGAGAGAGCAGAUCGAUCUGUUGUUAUUGGGUUCAUAUAUCUGUAAUCUUGUCACCGUACAGCAGAAUUCACUGUUCCGGGCCAGGGGAGAGACAGAGAGCAAAUGGACCUGUUCUUCUUGGAUUCCUUUCUGUAAGCUUGUCACUAUUUUCUUUUAUUUCCUAAACUGUGUGAUUUUGUCACUGUUGGUCUAGAAAAAAACUGCUUUUAUUUUCGAGAGUACCCAAAGAGUAUGUUAUCUUUGCAGAAGAAAAUAGGGGACAAUUUACUAGAUGUUGUCAAUGUAUCAUCAACUCAAAAACAACAACAUAUCUUCUAGAAGAAGAAAAACAGCUUAAUCAUGUGAAGCACACAGAUCACCUUUUGACUGACUCAUAAACAUCACGGCACCGGCAUAUACGGUGACAUGGUUGAUAGCUUAACUGCAUGGCCGGACCGGCAGAGGGAUGUCGAUUCUGAUGUGAACAAUCCUCAACGGCAUGUUUUGUCAUCGCAGAAAAAGGCGGAUAUGUGGUGAAACAGGUCGUAUGGCUUCUGAUCCGUCAUUCAAUCCCGAGUGACUGAACGGUGUUCGGUUGGUUAACGCGGAUCACAACGUCCGACACACCAAACACCCACUUGUUCGUCCUCGGAGCUGCCUUCGUCCUGGAUAAAUGUCCAACAUCUCCCCGUUGGCUAGCUGCUAAAAAGAGUUAUGCCUAUCCUAAGUACUCUUUGGAAUCGCAUAGUAUUCUUUUCUCAAUUGUCCCUUUUCCCUGAAAAUGUUUGGCCUGUUCAACAGACGAGAGUGUUUGUCUGUCGUUGUUUGUCGUUUGAAAGUGAAUUGCAAAAAACCACCACAUUUAAGGUAUCGUUUGCAGAAAAUCAUCAGGUUACUAAUCUUUUACAAAACUCACCACAGAUUUGGUAAACAUUUUGCAAAUAACACUGAUCAGAUGAUUUGGCUCAUUUGAUCACUUUCUGACAAAUGGGAUCAGAUUGUAAGGAGCCGACUUGGCAAAAUUUUGACAGACACACCCCUGAAUUGUAAAAAGAAAAAGCAACACCCUGGAGGUGCCGUCGCUGUUCGCCCGCUCGGUUAGCCGCCAGACGGCGCGCCGUUCCCCCCUGCCCAGAUCCUCCGCCCUUCUGCCCCUCUGCUCCGAAAUUGACGCCGGCCUCCACCGCCGGCCCGCCCAUCUCCUCCUGCUCCUGCUCCGACACCUCCUCCUCCGUGCAGCCCGGCGCGGCCAGAUGGAGGCGGCGGCCGCAAGGGGCCUGGACCUGGCUGGCCUGCUCCGCGACCUCCUCCCGCCGGUGGACUUCUGCUGCGCGUACGGCUCCACCCUCACCCACGCCCGCCCCGACGGCACUCCGAGGUAGGCUAGCUACACCCGGACGGCAAAGUCCCUUCCUUUCUGCAUCACGCUCUGCACGGGAUAAGCGGUACACCUCCAGCGCGCACUGGGUCACGACGGUGCUGCGGGGUUCCUCGAGGACGAGUUCCAUGACGGGGAACCGGUGCUCGGGCGCGCGACGGUAGUUGACGGAAACGACCACGGCGGCCGGCUCAUUGCAGAAGCAGUGGCACAUUGCGUCCGGGGGCAUGGAUGCUGCAGAGAGUAGGAGAUGGGAGAAGGAGGGGAUGUGCGGCUCGGUCUACAGCAGGCGGCGAGCGCGGCGUGGUGGUGGAGAUGAAAGGUGGCGGCGCGGUGGCUCGCCGGUGAGGCAGCAUGCUGCCGGCUGAGCGGGCGGAGCGGCCACGGAGGCGUCCUGCAGGCAGCGAACGGAGGGAGGGGUUGAUUGCUUUUUCUUUUUAGAUCGGUGUGUGUAAAUGUUAUGUCAAGUCAGCUCCUUAUAAUCUGGUCCCACUUGUCAGAAAGUGAUCAAAUGAGCCAAAUCAUCUGAUCAGUGCUAUUUGCAAAAUGUUUACCGACUCUGCGGUGAUUUUUGCAAAAGAUUAGUGACCUAGUGGUUUUCCGCAAACAAUAUCCCAAAUGUGGUGGUUUUUUGCAAUUCACUCGUCGUUUGACGGUGCAAUUUAUGCGGCUUAAGUUUCCCGUUUAUUAUUGCUGUUGAUAAGCUAGUUGCUUGUCUGUGCUCGGCGGUGUAAACUGACUUCUGUGUCCCAUUUUAAACGAUAGCCAGAGUAUUUAUCUAGCUGAAAAGGAUGAUCUUUUUCCCUUUGCGACAGAGAAAAACACGAUCUGCAAAGGUAAUUUACAGAGUUUCAGCACAAUCGUCUAUCUCGGUAUCAGCAUUGUAUGACUUUGUCACAAACCUUACAUUUUAAACUUCUCACAAGCGUUGUACAAGGUUCCUGAUCUUAGUUAUUUUUUAGCCAAUCUGAUAACACCUUCUAUUCAUACUUAAUUAAGAAUCGGUAUACAAGCCCAAGCCUUUAUGCCACCAUAAUAUCUGUCCAAUAAACCCUAUUUGACGCUCACUGCAUCAAUUAAUCAGGAAAAUGCACAGGGCAGCGAGCGAAAGAUGCCAUAAUGGGCAAAUCCAUUUAGCAGUAGCAGCGUACACAACGUUCCAGUUUCAGGAACCAGUUCAGGUCCAGUUUUUAUUUUUUAUUUUUAUUCUUGUUUCUUUUAUAAGUUUUCUUCUUGUUUCAUUUCCCUUUUUGUUUUCGGCUCUUCACUUUUUUUCAAUUUUUUUUUCAUUUCUAAAUAGUUUGUAAAAUAAAAAUAUUUGCGUUUCAAAAAAAUGUGUUUUCAAAUAUUGUUCGGAAUUUCAAAAAUUGUUUCUGUUGUCAAAGUUUGUUCAUAAGGAUUGCUCGUGUUUUCAAAAAUUGUUUGUGAAUUUUCAGAAUAUGCUCGUGUUUAUAAAAAAAAUCAGAAUUUUUAAAAAUAUUACCAUUUUCAAUCUUUCUUCAAAAAUUCAAAAAUGAUUGUGUUUUCUAAAAAUGCUCACGAUUUAAACAAUAUUCAGGUUUUCAAAUAUCGUUUGGAAUUUCAAAGGAUGUUCCCAUUUUUUUUGAAAAAAUCACCAAUUCAAAAAGUUUGAUUUUUUUUAAAUGGACAAUGUUUUCAAAAAUAGUUUGUAAUUUCAAAAAUUGUUCAUAUUCUCAGACUUUGUUCACAAUUCAAAAAAGUUGUUCCCGUUCUGAAAUAGGUGUUCAUAAUUUCAAAAAAUCUCUGCAAUCCUCAAAAGAAAAAUUGAAGGCACCAAGAAAGAGUUCACUACAGUGAACCCGAGUCGCUACAACGUCCGGCUUGCUAUAGUUGUACAAUAAAAAACGCACGAACCAGUCGCUUAAUGGGUUGUCCUGGUCGCUCGCGCCAGUGCAUCUCGGAAGGAGUUUGAUGCAAAAUUCGUCACGUAUAAGCUCCACGAAAUCACUAGUUAAGGGCUACAUUUUGUAAAGGUCACUCCCACAUUCUUUUGUGGUUACAAGUGAUUGAGUGCAUGUGUGACACUUGUCGCGACCUCGGAGUUUUGUGUUUUUCAAAACGUUUUGUCUCUUAAACCAAGCGUCCAAAUUAUGAACCAUUUUCUCCGUCGUGUUCCUCAUGUCAAGAUCUUCGAAACUAAACCCCACGUUAAUAUGUUCGGGUAGACUUUUUCCAAAAAAAAAGGACAAGAAACAAAAAAUCAGAAACAAAAAAAAAAA
rnacentral:lncRNA from 1 species